ACUCCCGCCUGCCAGCCCUCAACUCCCGGUCGGGUUGUCUCCCCGCCGGUCUCCCGCCCCCAGCUACCGGGUCCGCCAGGGUCAGGAGCCCGAGAUUCGCCGCCCGUCGUAGCGGCCCGCUUCGGCCCCUCGGGGCCCGGGGCUCUCCGGGACCUACACAGCCCGGGAGACUCCGGCGGGGCUGCCUGCCCUCGCCCGAGCCCGGGGGCCCAAGCUGCGGCAGCGGCUCCCAACGCCUCUGCUCGAGGAGAGCGGCGGCCUGGAUGCCCCAGCGCCCUCCCUGUCCAGUUCCUUGAAGGCCCCCAAGAGGGGCGAGGCCGGGGAGGUGCUGGAGCGGGGCCAAGUGAGCUUUCGGGGCCGCGGUUGAACUGGAGUCUUGAGUGCGCUGCGGUCAGUGGAGGCCCUUCCACCCUCGCCGCGCCCCGUGGGGAAUAGUCCCCCACCUCCCGCCAUGGCUGCAGCAGGAGGAGACGACGUCCUCCAUUUUGUCGGGACAACUGUGGGAACUUGGGACCCCUCAAAACCAAACCCCGUGGGGCCAGGACUUGUCCCGGAAGCCCCGACUGGGCUCUGCCAUUCGGACAAGGGAACAGCCCCAGCUGCCGGCGUCUGCGUCCGCGGGGCAGUACUGGUCGGGCGCGACGGUGGAGACACCCAGACGCAGCUCCCCGCCUCCAUCAACCAAGAUGGAGGGAGCUGCAGGCUCCCUUGGAGCUGGGCUCUCGCGGGUUGGAGGGGCUGAGGCCUGCCCUGGGGCGUCCCUGGGCGCCGCCGUCCUGUGCUAGCAGCCCGGGGCGCUGGCCCUGCCUAGGCCUUUUUACUGCCUGCCACCGUCUCCUGGUCCGGAAUGGUUGAUGGAGACUCCAUGGAGGCUCCCUCCACAGCCCGCUCUAUCGCGGGGCGCACCCGCUGCGGCCCCUGCGGGGAGCAGAAUCAGGGACAGAUGGCGCCCGGUGAGGGCGGGCCCCACAGGCCACCUCCACGAGGGGUCUUCUCUUUUGUUCCUCGUCUACACCUACGUCUUCGGCGGAUGUCAUGGUGCUGAACCAUUUCCCGGACUCCACGUAAAGAUGGAAGCGAUUCCGCUUUCGUCUCGCCCUGGCGGUUCUUAGUGGGAUUACAAUUGAGGAUGUUAGUUUGGAUGAAAGUUGGUGAAAUACUUACCUUAUGUCUGGAAAUACAGAUAAUGUGAUUUUUAAAAAACACAUUGAGCCCCGUUUUACUUCUGUGGUAUGGUAAAGGCACAGGUUUAUUCAAUGAAAAUCAGACGUUAACCAUCUAAUGCAGGGGUGGCCAAUCUUUUGGCUUCCCGGGGCCACAUUGGAAGAAUUGGCUUGGGCCACACAUAAAAUACGCUAACAGUAACAAUAGCUGAUGAGCUAAAACAAACGAAAAAACCAAAACGCCAAAAAAAUCUCAUAACGUUUUAAGAAAAUUUACAAAUAUGUGUUGGGCUGCAUUCAAAGCCGUCCUGGGCCGCAUGCAACCCCCAAGGGCUGCAGGUUGGACAAGCUUGAUCUAAGACAAAAGCAUGUUCACGGAUUGAUGAGAGUUCUGUGUAAGCCUUUGCAUAUUGCAUAGUGCUGUAUGUCAUGGAUAUGCCUAAUAUCACCUACAUUUUUUAGGUCCUCAGUUACUCUUUGGAAAUAAGUGAAUUACAUGUAAUGUCAUCAUUUUAAUGACUGCUGUAAAUUACAAGCACUGACUACCCUGAGUUCGUGGAGAAGGGCUCCAUAGAGAAAAUUUGAAGGUCUGACAGAAACUUUAAAUGGUAAGCUCAGUAGCCACUUGUCAUCUAUUUUCUGAUUAUCUUUUUCACAAUUUUUUGGCAUUGAUACUGUUCAAAGAUUAAAAUUGGGUAACAUUUCUUUUUCCUGAUAGUGGCAGGAAUGACAGGUUCAUGUCCCAAUGAAAACGCUCACCUCAGUAUGCUGCCAUGAUUUCGAGGGUUGUCGAAAAUUUAGGAAAAAAAAGUCUUCAUUGUUCAACAAGAUAGUGUCAUUUAUUGUAAAUCUUUUGAUAAUUCAGGACUCCCGGCUAAUACAAAGUCACAGCAUUAUGACCAAGUCUACACAAAGGGGCCAGAUAGCCUGCCUUUGAAUCGUACUUUAUUACUAGUAGCUGUGUGAUCAUCUUAACAGAUAAGUUACUUAAACUCAGCCUCACUUUUAUCAUUUAAAAAAUGUAACAAAUACUUAAGAUUUUUUUUUUUUGAGAAUUAAAUGAAUUGGCCGGGCACAAUGGCCCACGCCUGUAAUCCCAGCUAUUUGGGAGGCUGAGGCAGGAGAAUCACUUGAACCCAGGAGGUGGAGGUUGCAGUGAGCCGAGACUGCAUCACUGCACUCCAGUCUGGGCAACACAGCAAGACUGUAUCUCAAAAAAAGAAAAACAAAAAACAAGCAAAAAAAGAAUUAAAUAAAUUAUCACACAUAUGACACUUAGAAUUGCACCUGGCACAUUAAUUAAUAAAAGCUUGUAAAUUUUGCCUGUCAUUGUUAAUUCCCAAUCAGCACAGUGGUACACUAAAAAAAAAAUUCUGGCCCGGUGCGGUGGCUCACACUUGUAAUCCCAGCACUUUGGAAGGCCGAGACGGGCAGAUCACCUGAGGUCAGGAGUUUGAGACCAGCUUGACCAACAUGGCGAAACCCCGUCCCUACUAAAAGUACAAAAGUAGCCGGGCGUGGUGGCGCAUGCCUGUAAUUCCAGAUACUCGGGAGGCUGAGGCAGGAGAAUCACUUGUACCUGGGAGGUGGGGUUGCGGUGAGCCGAGAUUGCACCAUUGCACCCCAGACUGGGCAACAAGGGCGAAACUCCGUCUCAAAAACUAACUAAAUAAAUAGGAAAAAAUUCUUCCAGCCUAGGUAACAUAGUGGGACCCAGUCUCUACAAAAAAUUUUAAAAAUUAGCCAGAAGUGGUGCAUGCCUGUAGUCCCAGCUACUCAGGAGGCCGAGGUGGGAGGAUCACUUGAGCCCAGGAGGUCAAAGCUGCAGUGAGCCAUGAUUGUGCCACUGCACUCCAGCAUCUGGGUGCAGAGUGAGACCCUGUCUCAAAAACAAAAAAAAAAGUUGUUUAUAAUAAUUUAAUGACUUAUUAAAGUAACAUCAGCACUUUCUUACUAUUGUAAUAUGAAAAUAUUUAAUUCUUGGAGUUAAUAUGUAAAAUAAACCGUAGAGGAAAUGUAA
rnacentral:lncRNA from 1 species